CCCUUAGAUGUUCUGGGCCGCACGCGUGCUACACUGAGUGGAUCAGCGGGUCAGGUUACGCGAGAGCGUUUCCUAAUCUUCAAAUCCGCUCGUGAUGGGGAUUGACGGUUGCAAUUUUCCGUCAUGAACGAGGAAUACCUUGUAAGCGCGGGUCAUCAUCCCGCGCUGAAUACGUCCCUGCCCUUUGUACACACCGCCCGUCGCUCCUACCGAUUGAGUGGUCCGGUGAGGCUUUGGGACCUAAGCGAAAAGAGCGUUUCGCUCCUUUUGCUGGGAGAACUCAGUCGAACCUUAUCAUUUAGAGGAAGGAGAAGUCGUAACA
rnacentral:rRNA from 1 species